AAACUUACUCGGCGUAGGAGAUACCGUGAUCAUGAAGGCGGUUCUCCCGGAGUGUAGCUCAGUCAUUGCACUUACGAUUGAGUUUUACCUCCGCGAUAUUCCGAAUGGGAAUUCUUCGUGCGUGCAAUUUUUGGAAGCCGGGAUUGGAGAUAGCUCCAUCCCGU
rnacentral:snRNA from 1 species